rnacentral:tRNA from 1 species
GCCCGGGUGGUGAAAUUGGUAGACACGCAGGUCUCAGAAGCCUGUGGCCUAAACAGCCAUGCUGGUUCAAGUCCAGUCCCGGGCACAA